CCACUAUCCCUCAAGAGGAAAGUGUAUAACAGCUGUGUCUUACCAGUACUCACCUACGGGGCAGAAACCUGGAGGCUUACGAAAAGGGUUCUGCUGAAAUUGAGGACGACGCAACGAGCUAUGGAAAGAAGCAUGAUAGGUGUAACGUUAAGGGAUAAGAAAAGAGCAGAUUGGGUGAGGGAACAAACGCGGGUAAACGACAUCUUAGUUGAAAUCAAGAAAAAGAAAUGGGGAUGGGCCGGACAUGUAAUGAGGAGGGAAGAUAACCGAUGGUCAUUAAGGGUUACGGACUGGAUUCCAAGGGAAGGGAAGCGUAGUAGGGGGCGGCAGAAAGUUAGUUGGGCGGAUGACAUUAAGACGUUUGCAGGGACAACAUGGCCACAAUUAGUACAUGACCGGGGUAGUUGGAGAAGUAUGGGAGAGGCCUUUGCCCUGCAGUGGGCGUAACUAGGCUGAUGAUGAUGAUGACCCCUGCAGGCCAAUCCUAACAGCAUGUGGUACUGGGCGCGGGCAACUUUCUGCACCCUUUUGAAGCCAGAGCUUUGGACCUCUUUUGAAGUCAGAGAAGCGCAGAGCAAAAUUUUUUUUGAAAACUCGGGAAUGUGGAUGAAAAUAAAUGGGUGGCUAAAGCGCACUUGUCUUUCUACUGUAAAAGCAUACACACAAUGGAGGACGAGGUCAACGAAGGUGGCAACCAAGUACAGGGUAAAUGAAAGUAUAGACAACCAGGAGUCAUCAGAGACAAAGAGAGAGAGCAAACUGGAUGCAAUGAAUGGAAACAAAAAUGAUCAUGGAGACUUACAAAAAUGGGAAGAAAGGAAUUAGAAGGGAAUAUCUGUACGAUAACACAAAGGGCAGUGUCCUGCUAUUUGAGGCUAGGGCUGGUUGCCUAAGGACUUUUCUUGCAUUCUGUUCUUUCACGCUGCUUUCUUUUGGUUUGGCUUAGUUGUUUUACCUUAACAAGCUUGCCCCUUCUGCAUUUGAUUUUCAUCCUUUUUUACUUAUGUAUUGUGUUUAUCCCCUUUUUCACUUUUUUCUACGUCUUUCUCAUGGCCAUGGGACAGUUCAGGUGCCCACUAAGGGGUGAGCAGAUAAUAUGCCCACGGCCCUUCAUUUCCUACUUCCUUCUUUUCCCCUUAUAAUCAAUCAAUCAAUCAAUCAAUGAUUUCCAGAGAACUAACUCACAUCAGCUUCUCUUAUUGCUUGUAGUAUUUUUUUGCAAUUUCGUGCAUAGUGAUGUUGAUGUAAUAUUGUCAAAGUGGAUGUUGUGGCUUCUUUAAUUAAUUUGCUGAAAAUUCGGGGGUGGCAUUUCAUGUGGCAGGCAAUUGCUACCAUGUAAGUCUAAAUUAGGCUAAUAACUGUAUAAGGAAUGUUAGGGGGCGACUUUCUAAUGGGCACCAGAAAUACGGAUGCUUCAGUGCCUGCUAGAUUUAGUUCACUGAGUGGCAAAGUCCUGCGUAGCUCUUUGCCAGAAUGUAAACCAUAGCUUCUUUUUUUGCUGGCUUAAUAUGGCGUUACCAGCUCUGGGCUGUCUCAAUCGUCUGUUUAAUUGUGUUCACUUUGUGGUGUUUUCUAUGUUUUGUACAUUCCUUGGCCUGUUAUCAAGAACUUUGUACUUUUUUAUGGCGGUACAGAAUUGCACCCGUACUGCAGAAAGACCUGCAAAUUUUAUACACUUCCUCUGUCAGCAUCUUAGCACUCGUAUUUAACACUUAAUGAAGCUGUGUCGACACAUUUUGUAAUUGUGUCAGCAUGUGAAACAGUUACUUUCUGUUGAUGCCUCAUUCAAAAUUCAAUUGUGUUACGAAUGACUGGGGUUGUCAAGAUGGAAAUGACAGCAAGGAAGACAAACACUCUGUUGAUGUUGUUCGCAGCUUAAUGGUAAUGGUAAUUAAUACAUCUAACCAAUCCACCAUCAAAGGGUAGUACAUGCUGUUGAAUAUUGUUGAUGUUGCUAUGGCAAAAGAAAGGUGGUAGGAGGUUGUGUUUUUGUUAGACUGUUUCUAAAGCUGUUUUACCCAGUUCUUUUGUGUAACUGCAUGUUAGAGAAUUGACUUUGUUUGGAAUGGAAAGACAGGUUCGCAGAGCUUCUGACAAGGCACAACUUUGAGGGGAGACAGUGUUUUUGGCAUUGCUGAUUGCUGAUCUGCCCGGUUCAUUUUACCUUGUACCGCUUGGAAUAGUGCCAGGACUCGGCUGCAUUUUAACUGAAUGCAUGAGUUGCCACUUACAAAGGCGUGGGCAAGAGGGUGUUAAACUUUGCAGCUCUGGGCAGCUCUCUGCUCAACCUGCUCCUAGAGGGAUGAACUGCACUGCUGUUAAGAUCGAUGCAUUUUGAUGGCUGGUUAAGUGCUUCACAAUAUAGUAGUCGGAUUAGUUUUUUGCAUGGCGCUAUUAGCAUGCACAUAAGUUGAACAGUGAGCAGAUUGAACCUCAAGUAUUCAGGCGUAGUUAAAGAGUAAGCAGGCAGAUAAUGGUUGGCUUCAUACGGUAAUUAAAAAGCAAAAUGGUCCUUGAAACACCUUCUGUCAGUAUUUCUAGGCACAGCUACUGACUCGAGUAAUGUCAACAGAUGGUUGAGAUUCCAGAAGUGGUCUAAGGGCAGAUAGCGAAAGUUUCAUCUACUCAGUGCCUUGACUGUAGCUUUGCUGCACAUUACCCGACUUCUUUUUUUCUCCAGUGCUAUUGCAGACUCCCGAUUUUCUGUCCACAAGAAAGAGAUUGUCUGCUGGUGCUGUUCACAAAUUUAAAAGCGCGACCAUUCGAAUGCAGAACCCUUUCCAGUAUUUCCACUUUUUUCUUUUUUUCUGGCCCUAGAAUAUCUCCAACUCCAGUCUCAGAGUAUAGACCGCAGCUCUAUGAGUGUGUCUUGCAUUGCAGGUUAGUCUUGGAUUUGUUCUGUUGCUCGUGUACAUAGGCAGUAAGCCAUGAAUGCUACCAGAUUCACAUCUGUAAUGAGUUUCUCUUGGUGAAUGUCGCAUGUGUCGAACUUGUGUAGUUGGGUGGAUCAAAAUGCCGAUGGUCUUCAUUGUAGGACUGCUGCAGCGGCUGUGGUGUUCAGCUGCUGAGCAUGAUGCCGUGCGUUUGAUUCUCGGCUGCAGCACUUUGAGUCGGGAUAGUGUAACACUCCUAUUCCAACUCUUUUCCUUCGCGCACUUCAUAAGUCCGAACGGUGCUUUACCUAUGUCAUCACCAGAAAGAAUGCAAUAUGACAAGACAUCUAACUUGUUUGUUCUUCGAAACCUAUUUGCCAGCCAUCUCAUGCACUCACAAUGAACCACACAUCCUUAUUCACUUUGUCCUCAUGUGCUGGCUAACUCUGUGUGCCUCAUUAACCUGCUGAAGUAGGAGGGGGGCCAUGGCUAUAGGCCAACCAUGACCGGACGAUGAUGUAAAAGGUGUAGAAUCUGGCAAAAGGAAUUGCAAAAUUGUGCCAGUCUUACAUUAAUCCAAGUGGGGUGGAAAUGCAAGUGAGCUUGGGUGCCAUACCUUGGGGGCAUCCUAAAUAAUAACAGGUGGUUAAAGUUAGCCUACCACUAGGGUGUCCUCAUAGGGCCUGCAUUGCCCAAAGUAUUUUCAUUGCAAAGAAACAAAUUCUAACUGCUAAUAGUGUAGUGCCAGUGGUAGUCUGUUGUUGCGAUGUCUGAACAACAAUGUGCAUUGCUGUUGUAGCCCAUGUAUGUGAUGCACUGUGUCUGUGAAAUUUGCUGUAUGGUAGCAGAACUGCAACCGCUUUGCAUCUGGAAUAUUUCCGUUGUUUGAAAAAGAAAAACGUACUUGCAGGUUUGUGUUUUAUAUCAUCAGGUAGUGCAAGUAUGAUCAUUUGUGUGUUUAUGAGAGCUGUUACGCGCUGAUGUUUGAGCCAUCAGUUAUGAAUAGCUGGAAUACAUGCAUCUGAUAAAAUCAGAUUGUCCUUGGUGCAAUUUAUGACUAAACUGUCUUUCUUGCUGAAAAUUCAAAGUAGAGAUUUGUGAAUAAAAAAUUUGUGAACUCGUAGUCUUUUGCAGACAUUGUUGACUUUUGGAACAAACCAUCUCAUUUUGUGAUAUUGUGCAUUUCUAAUUGCCACUUUGUUUUUGCUAGUUUCAUGCAGUGGCAACAAGCCGAAAACCAUGACUGCUGAGCUGUGUGCAAACUGGGCCCUCUGCUUCCGUAAUGUGUCUCCAUUUCACUUCAGCGUAGAGGGUGUUGACACGCAUAGCAAAUUUACUGAAGGCAACCACUGCAUUAAAUGGGAGGUUUUGUGUGUCGCAAUCAGUCAGUGCUGGCGAAAGCACUUUUUAAUUGGGCAUAAUGCCUCCAACUGCUUGGUAAUUAAUGCAUUUGUGGUGCUGCAAGCCAGUGCUUCAGGUCUUUCCAUGAAUAAUUACAGUAUGACAUUACUUUAACUUGAGAUUUCAUUUAUUAAAAUUGCAACUAGUUGUUAGAUGUUGCAUAAAUCGUCUUUCUGCUGCCUUGAAUUUGAUCAUUGUACUGCAAGUAUGCAGCACUAUUGUAUAAAAUUAUGUAAAUUUGGCAGAUUUAUGAGCAGUUCAUCUUAAUUCCUGUUGGAAGAGGUUAUUUAACUCGAUGAGCUCAGAGUUUCAUCAAGCUGACAGGUUUAGUACGCAUAAUUAGCAUGUGGCACAAAAUUUGAUGUAAUGCAACUCUUGCUAACACAUUAAGGUGUCCUUCUUGCCCUGCCAUUUUUUUUCUUCAGUUGCACGAAGUUAGCGUACAGCUACUGUUAUCAAUAAAAAGAGCACAAGGUUUAUGCUGUGUGUAGGUCACAUUGGCUCGGCUAGGACACUUAUGUAUAGCACACCAUAGUGAAAUGCUCUAUGUUAUUGCUUUACCGAGAACACACUGAACAGAAAUUUGGCGAUGGUCAGUUGGCUUACAACCAGGCUUGCAGUUCUGAAAGCUGUCCAAAAGGAAUCAGGGUGCAGAGAAAGAAUUACAAGAUGGAAGGACGUUUCUGUUUCUUUAUUAGUGUUAUCCUACUCAGGACAGUGACCUGAUGAAAGACGAAAAAAAGCAUGUAGCAGUUUGUGUUUUUAUAUUUGGUGUGUAAAGAAAGUCAUGAUUUGUUUUGUUAAAUUUUGUUGAUAAGAAACAUGUAAACAACUUUUCUAGCCAUACUGCAUGCCUCCUCCAUGUGCAUAUUUCACUCGGAGGUAGCAUUUUGCAGUGUAGUAUUUUGUUGGUACUUUGUUUGUGGGGAGAGCAGGAUUUGCCUGUUUCAUAUGAAAUAGAUCCCGGCUACACUGUUCAAUUUCUAGCUGCUGCUUGCUGGCUUCACCCAGUGGCUAUGGCUGCCGAGCUCAAGGUUGUGAGUUUGACCUCUGUUGCGGUUGCCACAUUUUGGUGGGGGUGGAAUGCAAAAGCACUUGUGCACUGUGCACAACCUAAAGAAUCCCAGAAAAUCAAAAUUAAUUCAGAGUCCCCCACUACAGCAUGAUUAAUCAUAUUGUGGUUCUUGCAUGUAAAAUUUCAGAAUUAUUUUCCACACUUCUGCAGUCAGAGAAUUAAAAAAUGCCACAGAUCCAACAAGCCGGAAUCUAUAUACAGCGAAGCUUUGUGUGAGUGCAUGAAGAGCUGAAACACGAGUAGACAUGCACGCGCGCACGCACAGAGGCACUGACAAAUUAUACUGAGCCUUUUGUUAAGUGGAGUUGCUGACUACAAGUGAGUACGGCGGGUCCUUUGAACACAUUGCGAUUUCAGAGGCAGCAUGCGCAUGUGUAUGUAGCGCGAUUCAAAUCCAUUUUAUCCGCAAGGAGCGUUCACUUCCUCAUUACCGUGCAGCUGCGGAUACGCUAAGGCAAGCUUUCUGGAUCUUUUUCUUUGCGCAGCCGCUGUCGCAGAUGUGUCGAGGCAAGCGCCACAUGGUGGUGCUACAAGGAACCGAGCGGUGUGUGCGGCAUGCAUGAUCCGCUGUAAUUGGUUGGCCUAUUCGGCAAGGGAACAGUCAGGCCACAGCUCCCACGUUCACGAAGCCUGCAAGUCUGCAGUUAUGGAUUCUGGCUACCGUUCCCACACUAGUGCCGUCAGAAGAUGGUUCAAGCCCGGCAAAUGUGCAUCAGAGCUUCGUCGAGGUGGCCUUUCGAGGCUGUGAGCAACUGUUGACACUCUAUUGGAACCACGCCAGGGUCAUGCAAAGUCGAGGUUAUCUGCACCCAUUGAGAGUCUGCAGCAAACUGAAGACCGGUACUGCUUGUCUGGAGAACAAUCCGUCAAAACAGCGUGUUCCACCCUGUGCCCAGCAGCACGUUCCAGCUACACCGUGACCUGGUGCCCCGCUUAAAUUUCGAUUGUGUGAUGUGAGCAGAGUCAUCUGGCUAGUUGAAACACUUAAUGGGCCAUAUCAAGGAGUGUCAUACUUAGUGAUACAGGUCUGCUUUGGUGGGGCUUGUGUUGAUGACAUUUUACUUGUAGCACGAACAGCCGGCCCGUAUUGUCAGGUAGGAAGUUUUGUUAUAAAGCAGGCAACUUACAUUUGUUUAGCAAAAACCAAAGAAUCCAGUUGUGUCUUUGUUCAUGUGGUGCCAUGUGUUUUAAUACACUUAAACUGUCCAAAGCUGGUGAAAGUGUAUUACGCUUGGAAUUCAAUGAAGAGAAAUGGUGUAACAGCUUUCUAGUCUAGUUCUAGUAUAAACCCAUGUGAUGCGACAAUGUGGUGUGUUACUGUUCUUAGAUGGCUUGUGUGAUGUUUGAGAGAGUUCUUAAUUGUGCAUAAUAAUAAGGUUACAAAUGGGGAUUAUACAUACAUACAGAGGGAGGUCCCAUAGUGAACAGACUGUACAGGGGACCUCCCAUUACAAAUGAGUAGGAUAUGUAAAUAUAAAGCAGCUGUACGCAAACACACAAGACACCACAGUACUGGACCACAUUACUGGCAUCACAGACACCACAGGCUUCCUCACUCUGGGCAGCCAGUGGAUAAAAUUCAAUCUUAUCAAAAGUGCAUGGUGGGUGUUUUAUGAGACUGAAGGCAUCAGGUUGAGUUUUUAAUGCUUACGUACAGGCCUCAUUCCUUAGUAGACUUUGGUUGGUAAAAGCUGACAUAAAAACAUGCUAGAUGUUAAUUCAAACAAAAUGCCUUCUGUACUUUGAUGAUCAUGUGUCUUGUUUUGAAGAAAAGAAAAGGGAAUUGUUGAAAGUGUAAACAUGAAACUGUAACAGUGUUGGUAUAGAAAUGGUAAAUAUUUGUUGCAGUUCAGUGUUGUCAGUAUGUUUCUCAGAAACUGAUCUUUCGAGCAGUUUUUAACUACAGGCAUGCUUAUUGAAGCUGCUUAUUAACCAGGCAUGCUUGAUAAAUAUAGUUAUUUAGCCUUCUGUCAUCGUGGAAAGGUUUGAAGAAUGAAGUUGACUCAUUUGCACAUAAGACAUCACAAGGACAGCUGUGAUAGAGUUUGUUGACUAACAUUUUUGUUAUUAUAAUAUUUGAGCAGUUGUUUUACCACAUACUCACAAUUUUUGUUUUAAUUGCCUUUUAUUGUGCAUGGCAUAGAAGUGAUGGUAUUGUUAUUUGUGCCUUCCUUAUCGACGAUUGAAGUUUGGUUUGUAGAUGAGCUUGACCUUUUCCUUGUCAUUAGCCUUUGAGUAAACAUUUUUGGGAAUCUUUCUGUGGUAGGAUGUUGCAUUUAAUAUUAGCCAUUCUGCAGUUUUACAUGCUUAAAAGGUUUGCUGUAAUCAUGCUGAAGUGCACCUGGUGUAGAUUGCCUGCAAGUGUUAUUACGAAAAAAUUGAGCUUAGCACGACCGUGAUUUUAAAACAUUCUUCACUGGCACUUAAUUUUGCUCUCACCUUAGUUUAUUUAGACAGUGCCUACUCAUGCUGUGAGUGGCAAGCUAAUCAACAAACAAUCUGAAUUCAAAUGUUGAUGCCACUGCUAGUAUUAAUACAAAUUUUUGUUAUAUUAGCUCAAUGGCCAUAGCACAAGGAUUGGUGCUGUAUUCUAUGUCAUUGCUAAGAAAGCCAGUGUGACAGCCAAAUAGAGUGCCUGCUAGAGUUUCCUUUACAAAACUGAUUGUGAUACUCUUAUUUCAUGGUUGUAGAAAUUAGCUUUCAGAUUUUGUUUGUUCUCACUUUUUUAGAUCUUGGACACAAAUUUUAAUUUUAUGAGUCUGAGGAGUGAGGGCUAUGUGACCUUACUACAUAUUUUGCUGUACAUCUUUUGCCUUUGCUUAAUGUUCAGUUUAGAUUGUUUUUUUUGCGCAUUUUUGGUGUUUUUUUAACUAGCAGCAACAGUCAAUGACUGCAAUUGUUUAUUAUUUAUUGCUUAUCUUGAAUUCUUUUUUAUUUGCCUGCAUAAAUCUUGUGAUGGGCAUUUUGCCAGCUGCCUAAAUUAACUGAUUUGUCAUAUUUGUUGUAGUGCACCAUUCUUUGGCAAGCUAGCUGAUAUGUGUUGCAUUCGUAUGGCCUUUAUUUUCAAAUCUAUUUGUGGUUUCAAAAUCAAACAGCUCAUUCUCUUAAGUCAAGAUACAUCCUGCGUGCCUCACGAACGCUAUUUGUCUCUCCAGGCAACCAAUACUCUUACCUGGGUCACUUUUCAUUCAAAAGCUUGUCAGGCCUUGCAGUAAUUGAACGUGACAUAAUCAUAUUGAAGCAUGGCCACUCUUUAAUGAAGGAUUUGUUACCCUAGAUUUUAGCUUGUAUCAUUUGCUGAAUACAUAUUAAUGAUGGGUUAAAGCUGUAGCUUAUCAUAGCUUCAUUCAUGGCUUUCUCCAUGAACUUUCUUGCAAUGCACUAUAUUUCUGUGCUGUGAAACUUUCCACUGAGGCAGUUUAAAUGAUCUGUUCAAGUAGAUCCUUCAUGUUAUAACCCAUUAGAGAUGUUUCCUCAUUGCACUUUUAUGCUUUUGAAGCCAUUUACUGAUUCGUGUCCCACAUAAUUUUAAUUAGUGCAACUGCAAUUGAUUUACAUUCCAAGUGCACCCAGCAAGCUGUGUUUAAAAUGGCACUUUUUCAUUGACUUGGUCAAGGUUUAAAUGCUUGCCCUUGUGUAAUUGGAUUUGAUACCUUUUAAAGUAACACUGAUGCUCUAUUUUAGACAUCUUGGCUACAACACAUGGUUAUAUGCAGAGCAUUUUAAAAGGUUGUGAAAGAUAAAAGCAGUUUCUUCUUUUUUUUUUUUAGUCAAUGUGAAAAACCUUGUCUGCUUUAAUGCUAGGCUUAAAGUAUACUAGUCCAUAAGCCAUAAAAUUAGUUGAAAUGCCAGUUCACCAAGAAAACUACCAUGUUCUUUUUGUGAUUGACAUAGCACUGUGGCGUUGCAAGCUUAUAAAAUUUCCUCCGAACAGCAUUUCUUUUCGUAAAGAACAGGUAGACUCGUGGAAAAUUUUUCUGAGCUGCUGUAGUAGAAUGUGGCUGGUGAGAAACUUACUUGUAAACUGCUGACACACACCACAUUGGUUUAGGAUUCUGCAGCUGAACAAAAAAUUGGCAGGUUCGCUUAAUAUCCCGGUAGCUGCAUUCUAUGUUGCUUUUGCACAAUAAAAUCAAUCAGUCUUUUUUAGUUUGGUGACAUUAGAGUUCUGCCUCUCUGCUUUUCCCUCAAGAUAAUCUAUAUAAAAUUGAACUGGGAUGUUAGUUGGGCCUGGAAGUAUAGUUUAAACACUGCUAGUAUGCAAGAUAGAAGCAGCACAUUCAUCAUGUUUGUAAUGCAGAUAGUGUCUGUGGGAAACUUGUGAAUCAGUGUUGCAAAGCAGAAGCUUUCAUUUACUGUCAGUAGAAGGAAAUAACUUCUAGUGGAACACUUGAGCCAAGCCUAAACUAUUCAAUUCCAUUGAACUUGUCCAUCUAAUUGUUCCUGAAAGAAAAUCUGUGCGUGGUCUGUUGGCUCUACUGCUGUGCAACAGUGCUGUAAACAUUCUGUGCGGGGUGGCUACAUGUUGAGAUGACAUUGGCAAACUUUCACUAUUCUGUUUCAUUCUUCAUCUUAAUUGUCUUAUUAUAACUGUGAGCAUGUCACUAAAUUAGAGGGAAACAAGGCUGAUAACAUGCUAAUAAUACUGAGUUGCCUUGGAUGUCAGAAUUUCCCCUUUGUCCCCAGACUACAUCAAAAAUUGCCAUGGUUGGCAGCACUCAUUGACCUUUCUAACACAAAAGUUCAGGUGAUUCCAUGCAGUAAGUCUUUCCUACUUUCUCACUAUUAUACUCUGUUUCAUACUUAGCAGGCAAAUGCUGAUGAAGCUACUCAAGUACUAGUUUCAUGGUCAACUGGCUUUUAAUUCAGAAUAUCUAAUUGGGAACAACUUCUUCGUGUACUGCUUAAUUUACAGCAGAUAGAACUAAAUUUGUGUCAAAUCAUGUAUUUAUGUACAUUUCUUGCUAUAUGAUGCUCUAUGUUUUGGUUGCGAACACAGGUGGUGCGUGUUGGAGGCUGUGCAAAAAGUGAAGUCAUACCAACGUAUCCUUCCUCUUGUUCUGUACUGAACAAGCCCAGAUAUGCAGCAUUUUUUAUAUCAGAGUUUCUUCAUAAUUGUGACUGUAACUUAUAAGGAUAACAUGCCCUAAAUUGCAUAACGCAUCCAUGUGCGUGGCUUUCAUAUGGCAUGCACUAUUUUUUGGUUGUGCACACAGGUGACGUGAAAAGUUGCUGCAGCCUCCUCGGCUUUGCCUGCUGGGCACGAAGGGGAGUAUGGAGCAGUCAUCAGAAUCCCUGUGACAUGCCAUGCCAUGCAACCUUCAGUUUAAGCUUGCAAACAAUUUGUUUUCUGCUAAUUUUGCUUCACACAAUGCCUUACAGAAAAAAAUUGCAGUAAGUUCUCUUGAAGACAAACAUAUGGGAGUCUUGAAAACUUGUGUCACAUCAAAAUUUUGACUCCACAAAAGUCUUCGGAAUCUGUCGAAAGCUGGCAAAAUGUCUUUGAACUGUUCAGUUUACGAGAUAACAUAUCUGAAAAAGUCUGGCAUGUGUUUUCUUUAUUUUACCACUCUCGGGGUGUGCGUUUGUGUCCUUUGUACAGGUUCUUUUUCUUGGCAUUAUUAUAUGUUCAAGUAAGGCAGUAUGUAACUCUAAAAUCUAUUAAUAGCCUGCAGCAGCAGUCUGGUUGUCUUAUGCAUCACGAAUCACAAGUGCAUGUGUCUUUUGGAAAACUUUUCUUGCUUUUGCAGGCUGGGAACAACUGCCUCACACAUUCUCUGAAGGUUUGGCCCAGACUAGCCGAGAUCACAGUGGCUGCGACGAACUGGCCAGGCACCUAACGACCAGCUCUUCCUCGGAAAGUAGUGGCGCGCCAGACCAAAACAACUUCGUCGAAGAACUGCGACUCAGUUGGAGCGCUGCAGGCCUUCCGAGUGUCGCGACGGCUCAGUCGCAGCCACAUCAGCAGCUGCAUCAGGAACAACCAUUGGCACAACUGAAGCGGCGCUGGCCAUGCCAGUUGUGCCCGAUUGUCUGCAGCACCGAGUUCAACCUGACGAGCCACAUGCGACGCCACGCCACCCGCAAGCGCCACGCUUGCCCCGUCUGUCCAACAACAUGCAGUACCCUGUUCAACUUGGCCAGCCACAUGCGCACGCACACGGGCGAGAAGCCGUUCAAGUGUGACAUGUGCCCCAUGGCGUUUGCUGCCAAGGGAACACUGGUGAACCACCGACGGACACACACGGGGGAGCGGCCGUUCCAGUGCCCCUUCUGCAACAAGAGCUUCACACGCAAGUUUGUGCUGCGGGACCACAUCAGCUACCGCCAUUCAGGCCAGAGCGGCUCGUGAUGAAGUGGCCAGAACCCAGUUGCUGUGGCCAUAGUUCUUUAGUUACCCAGAGGGAAAAGUGUCACUCUCAAACAUAUGGGAAUGUCAAAAUCUGGGAGCUUUAAGUUCAUUUGGAAAGCCAGGGACUCCCUGUAGAUACAUUUGGCAACCAUUGUCCUUUCUCUCGUGACAUUUUAUUCUAUACCUCAGCAGCACCUAAGCAGCUGUUCUUACUGUUAAUAUUACUGUUACUACUGUAUAUGAGAAUUUGUUAUUUAAACAUGGGCACUCAGGCCAGAGUGUACAGUUGUGUCAAGUGGCUCUGUGAGUCGCUCAAGUUAGAGAGAAGGUGUGAACGUCUGCACUUACUGUGCACUGGUUUCAAUUGUAUGCUUUCAUUUUCAUCAUUAUGCUUACUAUACUAUGUGUGAGUAAAUGAACUCUUUCAUGGAGGGGGGGACAUAUCGGACCACACUUUUCAAGGUAGCUUUAGUGUGCCAUAGCGUCGAAAUGCAACAACUACAAUUUAACUUUUCUGUGUGCCUUCGUUUCUGUAGUUCAUUUUAUUUAUUUGUUUGUUUCUUAUUCGACAGUCAUCAACGAAAUGAAAUGGUUGCAUUAAUUGCUUACUUUCUCUUUCUUUUCUGCUCUGUUUCAUUAUUUCUUUCCGUUUACUUUCCUCUAGGUGGCAUUGCAAAAAACUGUUAAGGUCUCGCUACUCUUUCAGCACUCAUGUGCCCUGAAGGUAUUAGUUUAUUCUCAUCAGCUGCUAUUGUAUGGACAAGUUCUCAAGACAUUGUUAGGCCUUUUGGAGGUUUCAUCGAAUGCAGUGGGACAGCGUUGGAAUCAAAAAGUGCAGUGGCACAUUUUGAUCCUGUAUGGCCUGUGUAAGCAUUUGUGGAACGUGCCAAUUAAGCAGUAAUCUGUGCAUGUUUGGCCAAAAAGCUAUUCAAACCCAGGCUUCAGCGUACCUUUGGCUGGUCUUGGCAAAUUGUAUGUCAAAUCAUACUACACGGUUUUGGCUGCAUGUUGUUUUCAACAUGCAGCUUAUGCAAGCUAGUGUUGCAUAAAUCAGUCACAUGUGAGCAAACACUGUGGGUAGCUGCAAGAAGCAUGCUCAGGAAUAUGAGGUUGUGUUUUUAUGUUCCCACCUAGGUUUAUAAUGUUGUACAUACAUUCUAACAGCACUCCUAGUAUGGCAUGUGCUCAUAUUUCUUUCUGUAUUUAUGGAAAAAUUAAUGUAAUGCAUGUGUCAGUUAUUCCUUCACAAGCCUGGGGGGUAGGGUGGAAGAAGUAUUUUGCAAGCGUCCAGCUAUUGGACAUAUCCAUUUCAUCUGCUGAUAAAGUGCUGAUUGGCUGGGGGUGCCUGUCUCCUUACACAUACCCCAGCCAAUUCCCUAGUUUAUAUCACUGGAUAUGCGAGUAGUUUAUCAGUUUUAUCAGGAGUUAUCAAGUUUUUUGUUGUAUGCAAUAAACUGAUAGCUGUAUGUGAGCCGCGAUAAAGCAAUUUUUCUCUUGUUGAAAGGUGCUUAAGAAAUCUAGCUACCUUUUGCAACUGCCAUAGUCACUUCAAUUAACUGCGUGAAGCUUGUCGAAACCUUCCUUGAACACUUGUAGCAGUAAUAAAGGACAAAGAACAGCGAUAAAGAGUUCUAGUACAAGCGUAUUUCUUUUGGCCUAAUGUUGCAUUACUUCCAAGUUCACUCCUAUGUUUGAACUGUAAAUACUCCUGUUCGAUGGACUGCUUGGUUGCUAGAUUCUUGAUUCAUGCUCUUAGCGCAAUAUAAAUUGGUGUACUCUUUGUGUCUUGUUCAUAUUGUGCUGGUAGUAUGAAUCAGGAUUUUGUUUGAUGUUGUACAGUAGUAUCAUUGUAGCAAGAGGGAUCCCUAAGGAGCACUAAUGAACAUCUCAAACAGUAUAGGACUUGGAAAUUAUUAUAACAGCAGUGAGCAUACACCUAUCUUUUUUUUUGGCAAUCCAGCUAUAGUACUGUGAACUAGAAGCACACACUUCCUAUACCAUAAAGGUAAAUUGUUUAAACGAGCUUAAACUGCGAAGAGCCUAUGAAGUACAAUUUCAAUGACACUGUCAACAGCUGAUAUUUCCUCAUCUGUCUUAAAGCUACACAGGGUAAACGCAGUGACAAGUUGCAAAAAUAAUUUGUCGCAACUUCAAGUUGAGGAAUAGAUAUCACAUUUAAUGGUGGCAUCGAGGUUGUGCUUUGUUGCCUUUAUAAUUUUGUACUAGGGAGCCUGAAUGUUCAUACAAGAAAGAUGUCAGUGUCUUUGAAUGUAAUGAGCUUGUGCUGUGAGGCACGAAUGAAAGAUGGGUGCUGUGUUUGAACAUUUUCCUGCUGGUGUGACACCGGCGUGGUUCAUUUUUAGAUGUCAAGCUUCUGAGUUGCAGCAUGCUUAUAGAUUUUAAUAGUGUCACAUGACAUAUCGAAAUAAUUAUGUAUAAGGAGUGGCAUAAUUAAAUUUCCUACUGAUAGCUAACAUGGGAGACCUAAGGCCCCGUCAGCGAAAGCUCUUUAGGACUAUAAAUAAAGUGGUUACCAAACUGAUAGCUGAUGUAGAACUUUCCAGCUUCAACUUUGGCCUAGUCAGAGGUAGGUUCUUGUUGUAGGUUGUAGCAAUUAUAAGAUUAAGUAUAUACAGAAAGUUGAAGGAAAGAAGCCACUUCAGAUCGAGUUUGAACCUGGUACCUUAAUAUUGUCUACUCAACUGUUUCACUAAAUAAUCAACAAAGUGCAAGUGCAAAGAGUGGCUUGUGAGGCAGUUAUAAGGCAUGGUAUAAUGUGUGUGAUGCUUAUAUGCUCAGUUCAAGGUGAAAAGGGCUUAAAGUAGGUGCAAAGAAAUGAAAUGCAGGAUAGGCGAGACGCUGAAGCUAAAGCAAUACUUCCUUUGAGCAGGUGAUCUGUAAACUGCUGGUAUUCUUUUUUUUGUGUGUGUAAUUUACACAGGUGCAAAUGCUCGCUGCUGUAGCUCAGUGGAUGUGGAAUUCCACUGCCAGGCACAAGAUAACUGGUUCAAUUCUUGGUUGUGACCACAUUCUAAUGGAUGCAGAAUGAACGAACGUUUGUGUACAAUGCUUUGUGGGGGCAUGACUAAAAAUGCUGCUUUGCAAAAAUUAAUCUGUAGCUAUCCACUAUAGCAUCUUACAUGGAUCCUGUCUUGCACUUUUCUUCUUGUGAUAGAAACCAGGAACAGCUCGGCUGCACAAAAGAGAGGUGAAGAAGGAAAAAAAUUAAAUUGGCAAUUUGCGGCAAGCUGUUGUCGCCUUGAAUGGUUAGCGUGGCUUUUUUUGUGUGUGUGCAAAGCAUUGCCGACUGCCAAUGCAGCAACUGCGGAAUGAAGAAUGCUUAGCUAUUGUGUAAGACAUUCACAAAGUGCAAUAAAUUUCGAGGCAGAUAUUUGUGUCGUGUUGCAUAGCAAGGCCCCAUGGGUUUAAUAAAAUUUCGCAUAUCUUUAUCACAAUUGAUGCAAUAUUGUGAUGAGCGGGUGUGUACUUUGUAAAGCUUACUUAUGUAGACGUACACCAAUUCCACAUUGAAUGGGUGCAGCUGAGCUGUUAAGUACUUUAACAUUAUGAAAUUCUUACGUAUAAUUUUAUAACUUUACUUUUUGUUUGCCUUGUUCUGUGUCCUGGAAUACUGACCCUUCAUGAAAAACUGAAUUCCUAAAAGCUAAAUCAACACACAAUUUUUGGUGUUUUAUGGUCAUGCCUGAAAACGCCAACUCCAGCUAAAGGACACCUGUCGUGGUUGUAGUUGCCAACCUUCUCAAAUUUAGUGGGGCAGUCCCGACUUUGCAGUAAAAGUUCUCGAUCCCAACUUGACCCAGUCAGGACAGCCAAACGUUCCGACUUUUCUUCCUCUACUGAGUAGCAGUAAACUGUACGUGUACUGCGUACAGUUCUGAGUACUGAGUAAAUCAGAUUUUUUUUUUUUUUCUCGUGGUAAGUCGCGACACAGUAGGACUAAAAAAAAACAUUCAGCUUUGUUGCACGUACAGACUGGAAGCUCCCAACACUGAGAGGGCCGGUGAAGACUGACCCUGUCAUUGCCGUUUACCGACAUGCACAGUUGUCAUAAUAAGCAUUUGUGAAUGAUAGAUGUGGUGGUAAAAGCUGCAGGCACUAUGCCGAAUUCAUUGGAAUAGCCCGGCAGAUGACGCUCAAUGAGUGUGCACCUGCCCUCACCAUUUUGGCGGGUGGGCUCCACGACGUGGCCCAGGCCUAUGUGCAAGUUGUUGCUCCCAUGUGAAUGAUAACUUCAUGGAGGGCUAUGUUUAGGUUUAGGUGCAUGUUAAAGAACCCCAGAUAGUCAAAAUUAAAAUCCACUACAGCAUCUCUCAUAGCCUGUUCGGUACUUUGUGACAUUAAAACCCAUAGUUUUGCAAGGGGAGGUGCUAGGGGUUGUUGAAGAAAGUUUGGCAGAAGAAGGAACAGAGACAACAGGAGAGAUAAACUUUCUUUUUAAAGACUGCAAUGCACACAUACGCACACACCCACAGCUUAUUGUGGCUACCUUUUUUUCUACUGCUGCUGCUAUUUUCUUUAUUUCAUACUGUAAACGCUGUUGAUGAUAAUGGAGACAGCUUUUAUCCUGUUGCUGGUUUAUAGGAGGAUAGCAUUCUAUACAGAAGAAAUUCGGUGCUGAUAUCAAACCUAUUGCAUCGAGACGUGACAAAGGAAUUCAGCUACAGAGUCAACAUCCAUAUUAGACUGAGUUGAUAUGAGAAAAGCUAUGUUUUUUUUUUUUCAUGUUCAUGUGUUGCCGGCUUUGUACCACAAUGUUUAGCUGUCUUUCAAGCAAAAGUUAAGCUCUACGUUCUAACAAAUUAUGCAAAACUGAUUUUACAGCACUGUAGAUGUUGCACUAAAGACAUUUGGUGCCAACAUUACCAUCACUUGCAUUGUUCACUGUAUCUCUCUAUAUUGCUUUCUGUGCCUUAUGUUGGCUACCUUCUUUUUUUGUGAACUUUGGAUACAUAUCCUGGUAUCGCAACCAUAAAGAGUUGAGUAGUCAUGCAAAUUACAGUGUUCUGAAUGAAGAGCAGCAUUUCGAUUUCAUUCACGAGUUCUAAUGGUCAUCCACUCGUACGGCAGUCUGAAAUAAGGUGUUUCUUCGCAGCCCAUCUGAUAAAACAUCUAUGGCAAAUUAAAACGAACGCUCGUCUCAAAGAAGCAAUGGCUUUUUAAAUGUGACACUUUUUUUUUAGAGCGCAGCUCUCGGGCGAGCAUUCCUGUGGCGAGCAUCGCCGUAACCGAGCAAACAAGCACAGUGAAGGAUGAAAAAGCAAAUGCAGAGUGCAGGGGGGGAUGAAAGAUGUGAAGAGCAGCGUAUCGUGAAAACGUGAGAAAAAAGGCUUAGUGUGGCGACGAUGGGCUACGAGAUGGUGCCAGAGUAGCAUGCCUGUGAGGUCUGUCCUGCAGCAGCUGCCGUGAAUUGCGCCCACGGGUCACCCAUGUGCUGCCUCUCGCGAUCUCCAGAUUAGCGAGGCAGUCACGCCACACUUUGCUCUGUUUGCAGCUUGCCGCAUGAGACAGACUGUCCGCGAUAACUAAUAUAUUACAGUAUGAAAACACACAUAGAGCUGCACUCAGAUUUCGCAUUAGGGAGUAUUGUAAUUGUAGGCAAAUUUUUUUUUCAGUCCCUUGUUAAGUUUUGGUAGUCUUGACGUCUACAAUAGUGGACAGAGCACCUGAUGAGGUAAGGGAGCUGUGAUUCAUGAAGCGAGUUCAAGCAAUACAUGCUCAAUUUCAGGCAUAUGACUGGAAUCAAAUAAGUAGGUAUGUAGGUGUAUGUGCAUACGCGUAUUUGUAAGUAGGGUGGAACGACAAUGUUGUGUAUUGGAUGCAAUUUUGUUUAAUUGUACUGUAAAGGUUAUUAUGUGUUUUGUUUAUUGUUUCUUAUUAAAUGGCAGUGAUGUUCAUCUGUUGUGAAAUUUCUGUUGUGACAUAAUGCUAUUCACUGGUUUUUGUUGAACCACUGAAGUUUAUAAGCAUUUGACUCGGCCAGUCCUCGGGAGGAAGACCCACCUGGGAAGACCCAGCUUAGCCAUCGCUGUCCACAGAAGGGGGCUUGAGUCUGCCGUAGUACCAGAAGACUACCAGCUGUUCUUGUGUGGAGGGCAGCUCAUUACCUUAAUCCAAGAUUGGAUGAGCAAAAGUUAUUAUUGUUUAGCCAAAACAAUCUGUAGCAUCUUGUUGCACUCAUACGAGCACAGCUGUGCUCCCAACUUUGAAGGCAGUAAUUUCUUAAUGAGACCCAUGAUAGUGUGGCUUGCAAUGCAGGCAGGCCAGAUCAUUAUAGUUAUGGCUGAAUAUGCGUAAAUCAGUCUUGGGCUGUCUUCCAUGACUAUGAAUUGUCAGAUUUUAACUAGUAUUUCUUGAGAGUGCAAACAUGUACACGCAUGACUGAUGCGUUGGCACUGCUUUCACUGCAGUGUGCACAGAUAAUGUUAUGACUUUUAAUUUUAUUUUGACCCGGUGUGACGUUUGGUUCGACAGUUCGAUUUUCUUGAUGUCAUUUUGGUUUCUGUUGUGCCCAUGUCCUUUCCACAUGCUGUCAGUAUUAUUAAUCAACUGUGUUGCUUGUCUCUCCUCUCUCGUAGUCUCUCGACAGCUUGAGUCGGCAGAACCGUACGGCUUGGGUACUACGGGUCCCUUUGGUGAGCAUGAAGGGGCACUGCCUGCUGGCCACAUGCUUCUCCAGUUUCCUGCGCCUGUCCAGCUGUUCUUCGCCGAGCAGUUCGAAGCUGGAAACAGUCAGAAGUCUGGAUGCGGCACAAGUCUUCUUGCUCCUGGGCCAACUGUGAGUGGGACAGACGCGCCUGUUCCCUUGAAAAGCCAUAAGCCAAGACCUCGCGGCAGACCCAGCACUGGCAAGAAAAGACAUGGGUGCCACCUGUGCACAAAGAGCUUCAUCACAGCACGAGACCUGCGCACACACCUGCUCAAACACCAGGGCCACAAGCCAUUUCACUGCCACCUGUGCCCGGCCACCUUUCUGGCACGUGGCUACCUGGCCGACCACCUGCAGAGUCACUCGACCACCAAGCGCUGCAAGUGCGACCUCUGCCCAAGGUCGUUCAUGCGCCCCGUACAGCUCAACCGGCACAAGGAACGCCACCACUCUAACGCGACAUGAACGCUCUUGCGGGUUGUGCAGUGGAAUGUAAUGAAGUACGCCAUGUUGUUUUACUGCACAAAGCAGUGAUUGAGCAAAUUGAGUUUAAGUGGUGGCAAUGUCAUACUAUUAUGCUACACUUCAAGUGCACACACUUAAGUUAUUCCAUGGCCAAAAUCAGACAGGGAUGGAUGUUAAAUUUAGCAUGGUGAUAGUUGGUGUAGUGAAGUUGAGAUCUGCAAGAUUCACCACAAGUACACAAGUACUUUCGCCACAAGUACAAAUUUGUUAUGUCAAGGUUUGACAGUAUUUCAUAGCCUGCAUGUUUCUUUUCGGCAAAUCGGCAAAGUUAUCGGAUGAUUCACAUAGCUGUAAUUAAUAGCUAAGAAUUAAGUUGGAGGGAAGUGCAACAGCUCAUAGCAGUGGUGAGCAGGCACAUUUCCCCGGCAUUUGAAUGAAAUCGUUUUCUAAAUACAAAUGUACCUAGUUAACUGCUUCUGACAUAAGCAACUUUUACUGCAGUAACAGCAGUAACAAUGCAUAAGCAGAGCUGUCUAGGUCCAAGGCCUAAUUCCUUCCAUAUCCACCACCAUUUCUCAGUGGCUCUUGUGUUACGUUGGUGGUCCUGCAGCCACCGAUUCGACUCCCAGCCGUGUGUGGCCGUGUGUCCAGCAGAGCUAAAUGCAAAAGUGCUUGGUAACAUGCAUUAGACGUGUUGAUAGGCCAAGCUGUUCAGAAUAAUUAUGCAAUUCGCUUCACUACACAGUGCAGUCAAACUUCGAUAUAAAGAACCUUGAUUUAGCGAAAUUCAGGAUGUAACUCUUUUCAUUUCCGAGCCUUAGUUCCAUUGAAAACCAUGUAUUUUUCUGCUAUUUAAUGAAGUAAUUAUGUGACAAGGACUUCAUUUAAUGAAGUUUUCAGUCAUUUCAAGCAUGUACUUGGAGCCUGUAUGGCUGGUAAAUGUAGCAAGAAACUAUAGAAAUGUCAGUGAAAGCAAAAGUUAUUUGCUGCAUGAAAAUUCAAGCAGCAAAAACACCAUUGAAGCGCGAGCACUCGGACGAGGUAUGCAGGAAACGCCGCUGCACCAUUUGUCACGUUGCUAAACAACUUGCAGAAACCACGGGACACACGGCACCUCGGAGAAACCUGAAAGCUGACAAUUUAUUUGGUGCAAGGAGGGGUGGAGAAGGAGUGAACAUGCAGCAACCUAAGCAAACACGUGCAAAAGGGGGAGGCAGGAGAGGCACAUGUGCAUCUAUCAGCCCUCUUCCCCUUGUGUGCUCACCUCCUCUCCUAACCUUGCCAUGAGAGCAUGGCUGUCCACACACAGGCCAUGCGCAGUAUCUUGGAGGAAACCUGCGGCAAGUGGAAAGUGAUUCGUUUAGAAGUGUUCACUGACGGGAUUCUAUGCACCAGGAAUGUUCUGAGAAUUAGUGAAAUUGUACUCCUGAAAUUUUAAAACCUCGAAUUAACGAAAUUCUCGACUUAACAAUGUUUUUCGCCACAAGUACAAUUUUGUUAUAUCAAGGUUUGACAGUAUUUCUUAGCCUGCAUGUUGCUUUUCAGCAAAUAAGCGCCAUCUGUCCACAGACAUUUUUUUUUCAAUUGUUUGAGUGAGCUGCCCUGGCGAACACCACAGUUACCCAGAACUCGCAACCACAUCCUACAUCUCUGUGUCCAGAAAAUUGUGCUCGCAGUAACUGGCAGCAGUACCGGGUACCUGGCACCAGCUGUCAGCGUGCCUCCUAUAACAUUCUUCAUGUAAUAUUAUGGGCAACUUGCUGCUGUUGCAGCUCAAUGCUGGGCAUUUCGUGGCACCAGUCGUACAGAAUGAGGUUGACGCUAUUGUUCCCUCUUGAGGGACCUCCUCAGCACAAGUUGUCAGCAAAGCAGCCAACAAUGGUUCUCAGCUCAAUGCAAAAGUGGUUCCUUGAAAACAGGGAUGUCAUUUUUGGGUGAUCACUUUCAGAGGUAGUUGCACUUUCGGGAGAUUUCGUGAGACUUUGCACUGGAUGUGUCGAAGUAUACAGCCAACAGUGCUCGUGGCACUAUGCGAAGACAGCAAAAUUGCCACAGCACCAGAAAGGGCCAUCAGCCCUAUACGCUGGUGCAUCCAAGGCUGGGUCUCCUAAAAUUUUGCAAAAGUGAAACUAUCUCUGAAAGUGAUCACUCGAGAAUACAACCCCAGGUGAAACUCAGCUUUUGCUUUUGACAACGAGGGAAAAAGCAGGCUUGUGGACAAAGGCUUUGAGAGCUGGGGAGUUUAUCAGGGCAGCCAACUUGCAACAUUGUUGCAUUGACGCCAGCUAUGCAUCCUGCCGUUCCAUUAUGUGGCAGAUUCACUGCCCGUCUUGUAAAAAAUUUGGCCGCAUGACCACAAUGCGAAGGCGAUCGACAUGCCCAGCAGCAGUGUUCUUGCUGGUUCAGCAUUCAAUUGAAAAAUGUGCAGUUGCUUAAUAGUGAUGCAUGCUACAAGUCCGCUUGCUUCGUAUGACAAGCUCUGAGUUGUGAGGGGACUAGUUUCUCAAAGCAUGUGCCUCCUUUAGGACAGCUGUCUUGUUGCCUUGUAUUGGCAGAUUUUAUGUCAGUCAAGGAAGUCUUUCUAGUCGUAGUAUUCUAAGAAACCAAGAAAAUAAGUGUCAACAGUGCAUUUUCAGUGUAAAAAAAUGUAUACAGUGAAACCUCGUUAAUUCGACCCUCGUUAAUUUAGAGAAUCAGUUCAUUUGGACUUGUCCUUUGGUCCCUGCAGGCGUGCGCAUCAUUUAAUGCAAUCAAACUCCCAAUAAUACAGACAUAUUUGGCCAUAUGUCGGUUCAUUCGGACAACUCUUGGAGCUUGACGAGCGAAGGGUGCUGCAAAUGUGUGGCAAACAGUAGUUUUGUUUUGACUCAGUGCAACCGCUCCACACUUGUCAUAAACAUGGCGGAAGCUGUCGAGGAUGUAGAACGCCGGCUACAUCGCAAUGGAUGGACGAUCUGUUGAUGACCAGCUGCGUGAUUGAUUCAGAAUGCCAAUCAGUCACAAGAUGACAGGAAUUGCAGCUUUUGCAUUGUUUGUGUGCAAGAUAGAAACAAAAUUUGCUGAUUCAUUCAGUAAAUAACAGUGUGCUGACUUAGUUAGCAGUUGUGUAUUGUUAUCUUGAUAUCCUCAAUAGUUUGACAUUCGGUUAAGUCGCACACUUUCUUUUUUUUUUCGGUCCCCUGAAAUCCGAAUUAGCAAGGUUUUACUCUAUAAUGUUAAAGAUUGGCAUGAAGGUGAGGGAUAAAAACAAGAAGAGAUUGGCUCAAUUUAUUUCUUUCCUUGGCCGACACCUGUGUUUAUUUUCACAUACUUUUUCUUUUCUUUUUUCUUGUAUCCUAGUCACUCGAGUAUAUUUUGUUUUGCAUUGAAUUUAUAUCUACGCACCAAACUGACUUGUAUGAUAUCCUAGACUGCAGUGUUAUUCACUUGGACGCAAACGUAAUAGCAUGCUAGUAAUGCACUUCUACAUUUGUCUCCUGUGUUGAUGAUGACUUGUACUACUUCAUGUAACACCACCACCUUCAAAACCGUGUUUACAGUUUCCGUGCUUCCUACUGUGCCUCUCAAACCCUCGUGAUGGGUGCAGACUGACUAAGACAGUCAAGCAUUUGCUUUUGCAGCAGCGGCCGUUGCAGCAGGUCGUAGAUAAUGAUUAUCAUUGUGUCAUAAUGAUGAUCAAUAAUCAGUAGGUACCAAGGCUUGCUUGAACCGAAAGCGCAUAUUCCGUUUUUGAGUCUAGCAACUUUUCCUCCAAAAGAACACGCUGUACGACUGCUGCCCUGAUGUCGACAAUGUGUGAGCACAAUGAACAGCACUGGCUUAUG